CCUACGGGAGGCUGCAGUCGAGAAUCAUUCACAAUGGGGGAAACCCUGAUGGUGCGACGCCGCGUGGGGGAAUGAAGGUCUUCGGAUUGUAAACCCCUGUCAUGUGGGAGCAAAUUAAAAAGAUAGUACCACAAGAGGAAGAGACGGCUAACUCUGUGCCAGCAGCCGCGGUAAUACAGAGGUCUCAAGCGUUGUUCGGAAUCACUGGGCGUAAGGCGUGCGUAGGCGGUUUCGUAAGUCGUGUGUGAAAGGCGCGGGCUCAACCCGCGGACGGCACAUGAUACUGGGAGACUAGAGUAAUGGAGGGGGAACCGGAAUUCUCGGUGUAGCAGUGAAAUGCGUAGAUAUCGAGAGGAACACUCGUGGCGAAGGCGGGUUCCUGGACAUUAACUGACGCUGAGGCACGAAGGCCAGGGGAGCGAAAGGGAUUAGAUACCCGUGUAGUC
rnacentral:rRNA from 1 species